UUGUUUCUCUCCCAUUAAUGUUUCUAGUUCUCUAUCCCUCUCCCUUCUCUGUAAAAAAAAAUUUAAAAAUGUUUUAAAAGAAAAAAAUAAAUAACAAAUUCACACGGUGUUAGAGUGGAAGGAAAGUUAAGAUAUUCUGGCUUUGACUCAAACUCACCUAAGAUCAUGUAGCUGGUUUAUGGCAAGAAAUGGGACAGUGGUUCUGUCCUCUGACUGUGGACUGGGUGAUAGGCCUGCAGAGCCUGACUUGCACUGCUCCGCGCCCCACCCUGGCUGGGGGCGAGGUGGUCCCUGGUGGACCAUGGGAAAAGGGUGCUGCUGGGGUGACCACGCAUCCUGCCCCAGGUCCACUCUGGACCCACCUCCGGACCCAGAUCCCGGCCCCGCCCAUCUAAGGGCGACCCAAGCCGCUCCCCUCCGCCGGGGCCCUGCGACUGCUGAAGGUCUGGCCCCACACUCACUACACUCGGACCCUGGACCAGACCCCAAUCUGGGCCCUCGGACGCCCACCAAACACCAGAAGCGAAAACGUCAGCCCCAGGCUUCGAGCUUCGCCGGACUUCACUUCCCACAAGCCUACGCGCGUGCUUACAGAUGACGGCCCGGACUUCAUUUCCCACAGGCCUCCGCGUGUGCCCGCAGACCGACGGCAGCGUUAACCAAUCAAGCUUGGAGGUGGCUUAGGCGCCUUUCUGUCCCGGACGAAUCACUGCUGAGGGGCGGGACCUUCCCACCGCAAGUUCGGGGUUCGGAGCCACAGCUGGAAGUGACUGAGCGGGAAUUCUGGGAGCUGGCAGCCUCUCACCCUGUGGACCCCCGUCCCGGCACGGAGAGGGGGUCCUGGCAGCCGAAAGCGGGUAUUUAUUCCCUGCGAGCCCUACUGAGCCGAGAGUUAUUCUGCCACCAGAGAAAGGACUUUUCUGUCCGGGUUGCCCUCUGUGGUGAUGCUUCACCCCCUCAGCCGUCCUCCGACACACAUUCCCUGACGGACGGGACUGCCGUCCAGCAGGAGGCAAACCCUCAGACCCGCUGGGAGCAGCGCAAACGUCCCAGUGAGUGUGAUAUUGCUCCUGGCUCUGAUAAUGCAAUGGAGUUAACCGUCUUCAGGACUAGAGUGGUUGAGUAACAGGUGCUAGGCUCCCGGACCCUUCAAGAACAAAGCCCUGGUGGCACCCUAAAAGCAAAGGCAGCUCCGUAGGACAACUCCUGACUCAGGCCCGGAUCUCUCCAGGGGACAGAUGACGUGUCCUCAAAACCAAAGCUUCCUUCCAAAUGCCAUUCUUAGUACACAAAAGCUGCUGGACAGACGUCUAGCUCUGCAUGUAGAACAUAAAAAACGAACACACGUAAGAAUGAGGAACCGACAGGCGCACAGAGUAAUGAUUAUGGAGCAAGCGCAGGGCGGCCUCACUGAACCUGGCGAGAGAGAAACUGCCACCCACCGGGGUGGACAGCUGGGAGUGUGUCUGCCUUCACACCCCCAAAACGAAGCCCCACAAAAACCAGUGCCUCCCCCCCGCUGGCAGCUGACUCACCGCGGGACAAUAGCAGAGACAAAGCAGAGAUGUGAAUCUCAUUCUAUACCUCCCCUGGCCGGCCCUGUUCAACUCCCACAAUGGAAAGGCUCCUGGGACGCUGGUUCCAGGACAUAGACGGCGUCUCGGUGUUCCUGACACUUUCUAGCGAGGACUUGUCAUUCAUGGGGUGACUCAGAAUUACAGAAGCCGCUCCUCCACCUUGACCUGAAAUCAAAGCCCAAGGACAGAACCGGGAAGAACUGGUGCUGACGUGGGCAAGGGGCCUGGAAGGCCAGCAGCUGGGGCUGAAGUGGCCUCAGCCU